UGAUCCCACACCUAGGACACCUCCAGUUCAUACCCAAAUUGAUCCCACUCCUAGGCCGGCGCCUCCAGUUCAUACCCAAGUUGAUCCCACACCUAGGACACCUCCAGUUCAUACCCAAAUGAAUCUUCCACCAACUUAUGCUGAAUGAGUAAACUUAUUUUUGAAUAGAUUCCACACCAAGACCACCGGCGCCUCCUCCAGUUUAUACCCAGUGUACCAAUUAGUUUAAUGAGAAAUGAGAUUUUUUUUAGAAUGAAUCAUCCACCAACUUAUGCUGAAAUUGAUUCCACACCAAGACCACCGGCGCCUCCUCCAGUUUAUACCCAGUGUACCAAUUAGUUCAAUGAGAAAUGAGAUUUUUUUUAGAAUGAAUCAUCCACCAACUUAUGCUGAGUGAGUAAACUUAUUUUUUAUGAAAAAUGAGAUUUUCAAUGUGAUUUUUUUUUUUUAGAAUUGAUCCUACGCCUCAGCCUCAGCGUCUAACGAUGGGCGAGCG